GACGAACGCUGGCGGCGUGCUUAACACAUGCAAGUCGAACGGAAAGGCCCUGCUUUUGUGGGGUGCUCGAGUGGCGAACGGGUGAGUAACACGUGAGUAACCUGCCCUUGACUUUGGGAUAACUUCAGGAAACUGGGGCUAAUACCGGAUAGGAGCUCCUGCUGCAUGGUGGGGGUGGGAAAGUUUCGGUGGUUGGGGAUGGAAUGGCGGCUUAUCGGCUUGUUGGUGGGGUAGUGGCUGAGCAAGGCUUUGACGGGUAGCCGACCUGGGAGGAGGAGCGGCCAAGUCGCGACUGGAAUAAGGCACAGACUACAAUGGGACGCAGCAGUGGGGAAUAGUGCACAAUGGGAGGAAGCAUGAUGCAGCAACGCCGCGUGGGGGAUGACGGCCUUCGGGUUGUAAUCCGCUUUCGCCUGUGACGAGACGUGAGUGACGGUAAUGGGUAAAGAAGCACCGGCUAACUACGUG
rnacentral:rRNA from 1 species